rnacentral:rRNA from 1 species
AAGGCUUUACUAAACCGUACUGAAAACCGACACAGGUGGUCAGGUAGAGAAUACUCAGGCGCUUGAGAGAACUCGGGUGAAGGAACUAGGCAAAAUAGCACCGUAACUUCGGGAGAAGGUGCGCCGGCGUAGAUUGUAAGGGCUAGCCCCUGAAGGUUGAACCGGUCGAAGAUACCAGCUGGCUGCAACUGUUUAUUAAAAACACAGCACUCUGCAAACACGAAAGUGGACGUAUAGGGUGUGAUGCCUGCCCGGUGCUGGAAGGUUAAUUGAUGGUGUAAUCGAAAGAGAAGCACCUGAUCGAAGCCCCAGUAAACGGCGGCCGUAACUAUAACGGUCCUAAGGUAGCGAAAUUCCUUGUCGGGUAAGUUCCGACCUGCACGAAUGGCAUAAUGAUGGCCAGGCUGUCUCCACCCGAGACUCAGUGAAAUUGAAAUCGCCGUGAAGAUGCGGUGUACCCGCGGCUAGACGGAAAGACCCCGUGAACCUUUACUAUAGCUUGACACUGAACAUUGAAUUUUGAUGUGUAGGAUAGGUGGGAGCCUUUGAAGCAGUGACGCCAGUCAUUGUGGAGGCGACCUUGAAAUACCACCCUUUAACGUUUGAUGUUCUAACGAAGAUGACGAAACGUGGUCUCGGACAGUGUCUGGUGGGUAGUUUGACUGGGGCGGUCUCCUCCCAAAGCGUAACGGAGGAGCACGAAGGUUUGCUAAUCACGGUCGGACAUCGUGAGGUUAGUGCAAUGGUAUAAGCAAGCUUAACUGCGAGACAGACAAGUCGAGCAGGUACGAAAGUAGGUCAUAGUGAUCCGGUGGUUCUGAAUGGAAGGGCCAUCGCUCAACGGAUAAAAGGUACUCCGGGGAUAACAGGCUGAUACCGCCCAAGAGUUCAUAUCGACGGCGGUGUUUGGCACCUCGAUGUCGGCUCAUCACAUCCUGGGGCUGAAGUAGGUCCCAAGGGUAUGGCUGUUCGCCAUUUAAAGUGGUACGCGAGCUGGGUUUAGAACGUCGUGAGACAGUUCGGUCCCUAUCUGCCGUGGGCGUAGGAGAAUUG